AUUGAACGCUGGCGGCAUGCCUUACACAUGCAAGUCGAACGGCAGCACGGGAGCAAUCCUGGUGGCGAGUGGCGAACGGGUGAGUAAUAUAUCGGAACGUGCCCAGUCGUGGGGAUAACGUAGCGAAAGCUACGCUAAUACCGCAUACGAUCUAUGGAUGAAAGCGGGGGAUCGCAAGACCUCGCGCGAUUGGAGCGGCCGAUAUCAGAUUAGGUAGUUGGUGAGGUAAAGGCUCACCAAGCCGACGAUCUGUAGCUGGUCUGAGAGGACGACCAGCCACACUGGGACUGAGACACGGCCCAGACCUCCUACGGGAGGCAGCAGUGGGGGAAUUCU
rnacentral:rRNA from 1 species